UACGUAGGGUGCAAGCGUUGUCCGGAAUUAUUGGGCGUAAAGAGCUCGUAGGCGGCCUGUUGCGUCCGCUGUGAAAGCCCGGGGCUUAACCCCGGGUCGGCAGUGGAUACGGGCAGGCUAGAGGUAGGUAGGGGAGAAUGGAAUUCCCGGAUGUAGCGGUGAAAUGCGCAGAUAUCGGGAGGAACACCGGUGGCGAAGGCGGUUCUCUGGGCCUUACCUGACGCUGAGGAGCGAAAGCGUGGGGAGCGAACAGG
rnacentral:rRNA from 1 species